rnacentral:rRNA from 1 species
GACGAACGCUGGCGGCGUGCCUAAUACAUGCAAGUAGAACGCUGAAGGAGGAGCUUGCUUCUCCGGAUGAGUUGCGAACGGGUGAGUAACGCGUAGGUAACCUGCCUGGUAGCGGGGGAUAACUAUUGGAAACGAUAGCUAAUACCGCAUAACAGUAGAUGUUGCAUGACAUUUGCUUAAAAGGUGCAAUUGCAUCACUACCAGAUGGACCUGCGUUGUAUUAGCUAGUUGGUGAGGUAACGGCUCACCAAGGCGACGAUACAUAGCCGGCCUGAGAGGGUGAUCGGCCACACUGGGACUGAGACACGGCCCAGACUCCUACGGGAGGCAGCAGUAGGGAAUCUUCGGCAAUGGACGGAAGUCUGACCGAGCAACGCCGCGUGAGUGAAGAAGGUUUUCGGAUCGUAAAGCUCUGUUGUAAGAGAAGAACGAGUGUGAGAGUGGAAAGUUCACACUGUGACGGUAUCUUACCAGAAAGGGACGGCUAACUACGUG